rnacentral:rRNA from 1 species
AGAGCGAACGCUGGCGGCAGGCCUAACACAUGCAAGUCGAACGGACCCUUCGGGGUUAGUGGCGGACGGGUGAAGUAACACGUGGGAACCGUGCCUUUAAGGUCCGGAAUAGCUCCUGGAAACGGUGGUAUGCCGAUGUGCCCUUCGGGGAAAAGAUUAUCGCCUUUANAGCGGCCCGCGUCUGAUUAACUAGUUGUGAGGUAAUGGCUCACCAAGGCGACGAUCAGUACUGGUCUGAGAGGAUGAUCAGCCNCAUUGGGACUUGAAACAGGGCCCAAAUUCUUCGGGGGNCNNAUNGGGGAAAUUUUNCCAUGGGNCCAAAAGC